CCUACGGGAGGCUGCAGUGAGGAAUAUUGGUCAAUGGACGAGAGUCUGAACCAGCCAAGUAGCGUGAAGGAUGACUGCCCUAUGGGUUGUAAACUUCUUUUAUAUGGGAAUAAAAUGUUCCACGUGUGGGAUUUUGUAUGUACCAUAUGAAUAAGGAUCGGCUAACUCCGUGCCAGCAGCCGCGGUAAUACGGAGGAUCCGAGCGUUAUCCGGAUUUAUUGGGUUUAAAGGGAGCGUAGGUGGAUUGUUAAGUCAGUUGUGAAAGUUUGCGGCUCAACCGUAAAAUUGCAGUCGAAACUGGCAGUCGUGAGUACAGUAGAGGUGGGCGGAAUUCGUGGUGUAGCGGUGAAAUGCUUAGAUAUCACGAAGAACUCCGAUUGCGAAGGCAGCUCACUGGACUGCAACUGACACUGAGGCUCGAAAGUGUGGGUAUCAAACAGGAUUAGAUACCCUGUAGUC
rnacentral:rRNA from 1 species